AUACGGAGGAUGCGAGCGUUAUCCGGAUUUAUUGGGUUUAAAGGGUGCGUAGGCGGCCUUGUAAGUCAGCGGUGAAAGCCCGGGGCUCAACCCCGGAAGUGCCGUUGAUACUGCAUGGCUGGAAUGCGGUCGAGGCGGGCGGAACGCGGCGGGUAGCGGGGAAAUGCGUAGAUAUGCCACAGAACGCCGAUAGCGGAGGCAGCUCGCCAGGCCUGCAUUGACGCUCGGGCACGAAAGCGUGGGGAUCGAACAGGAUUAGAUACCCUGGUAGUCCACGCCGUAAACGAUGGGCGCUCGUCGUCGGCGGCAGACAGUCGGCGGCCAAGCGAAAGCGAUAAGCGCCCCACCUGGGGAGUACGGUCGCAAGGCUGAAACUCAAAUGAAUUGACGGGG
rnacentral:rRNA from 1 species